rnacentral:rRNA from 1 species
AACGAACGCUGGCGGCAUGCCUAACACAUGCAAGUCGAACGAGACCUUCGGGUCUAGUGGCGCACGGGUGCGUAACGCGUGGGAAUCUGCCCUUGGGUUCGGAAUAACUCAGAGAAAUUUGAGCUAAUACCGGAUGAUGACGUAAGUCCAAAGAUUUAUCGCCCAAGGAUGAGCCCGCGUAAGAUUAGCUUGUUGGUGGGGUAAUGGCCUACCAAGGCGACGAUCUUUAGCUGGUCUGAGAGGAUGAUCAGCCACACUGGGACUGAGACACGGCCCAGACUCCUACGGGAGGCAGCAGUGGGAGAUAUUGGACAAUGGGCGAAAGCCUGAUCCAGCAAUGCCGCGUGAGUGAUGAAGGCCUUAGGGUUGUAAAGCUCUUUUACCAGGGAUGAUAAUGACAGUACCUGGAGAAUAAGCUCCGGCUAACUCCGUGCCAGCCGCCGCAGUAA